GGAUGUGAGGGUGGUCUGGCUGUGACAUGACAUCUGUCCCCCUCUUCCAUCACCACUCCAUGUGCAUCCCUCCUGAAACUGUCUGCUCGGUCAAAGAGGACGGCCUUCCCCAAAUAGAGGUGGACCAGUAUUCAAGUAGCUGCUCCCCUGCUAGAACCUCCAAACAAGUUCUCAAGAUGCAUGGUUCCCUGGGUUCAUCUCCCAGCACCACACGUGCUAGUCAGUAGCACUCUGACAUCCUUC
rnacentral:snRNA from 1 species